UACACGUGCGCUUUCUGAAAAUCCUGAUUUAAGCCAAAUGUUUUGACUUUCCGUACAACUGCACACAAUUUGGAGGCUGUCGAAUGGUUGUAAGAGUCGAAGUGUGCCUGGCUGCGAAUUAUCCGGGCUGUCUCUUCUGGAAGUCAAAUCGUUAAAUAGCCGUCAUGUUACAAUAGGAACAAAUAUUCUCAUGAACCGUUGCACCAGAUAAUGUAAAGCAGGUAAUGGCCAGGUUUUUCAAGCUUUCAAUGGUUUAAUAAAGGAUUUAUGGAGCACUGAAAAGCUGUGUUUGUGUACAAGGCAGAGAAUGGAGUUCCUCGGUGCUAUGGAUACUGUAUUAACCUGGUAGCUAACGACCUGUUGCAACUCCUGCCAAAGGUAAACAGAUGAUAAUUGAGGGAGGGGAACACACCAGCAUCAUACUUCAUGGAUAAUGGUGAAAUUAGGCCAUCUGUUACAGAAAGGCUCAAACCGUUUCUUUUUUUACGUGACCCUUAAUUUACUUUCAUAUGUUAAAGUUGGUUGAUGUUUUUAGGUGAGCAUUUAAUGGUGGCUGCAUGGCAGUUAGCAGUUGAACAGUGCAAAUUUAGUGCUAAGUACUUAGUAAUGAAAAUCUUAAUCAUUAGCUGAUUAAAACUUUAAGCUGAAGGUAGCUGGAGGAGAUCUGCCUACAGUGAUAAAGGUACCUUAACUUGUUUUACAGCCUUUCUGUGAAAAAGAAAAUACAUUAUCUUUAAGGUGUUAGACAAACAAGAUUUAGUUUCCGAAUGUGGAAUGUCGGUGUUUACAGCACUAAAGAGAAAGAUAAAGUGCCAUUAAAUUUUAAAAUAGCUAAUUUGGAUUAAGAGUCGUGACAAUUUUAUCCACCUUCCUUUCUACAGUUCAGUUAAAUGCAGUCACAGAAAAACUGAAGAUCCUUUCUAAUUAAAACAGAGACACCAGUAUCAAUACAAAUAAAUAGAAGUGCGAGUAUGUGACUCUUGUUGUUUAUUAAGGGAAUAUAGGAGCUUGAUUUUCUUCAUAGUUGAACAAUAAAUCUAACAUACUAAAAGCACAAAGCAUGCCAUGUAUUCUAGGGGUGUUUUCUGUUCCCCCCUCUAAAACCCCCCUAUUUCCAUAAAAACCAAGGCUAUCAAUAAUUUCUGUGAUACAAAUACUUUGUCUAUGUUCUCUUGGGAAUAAAGUUUUUGUACAGGCCCAAUGAUAUAAAUUCAUCUUUAUGUAUGACUUACAAAAGAGAAACAAGUUUUCAUUUUGUACCUAUGACUAAUGCAUAAUAUCCUACAGAUAACACUUCCUAUGUUUGCCUUCUGUGUCAGUCCUUUAAGGUGUAGGUGGAAGGAUUUUGUUAUCAUGCUCAAGGUGACAAAUCUUCCUUAGUCCUUACAAAUACUGUAGAUCACUGGCCUUGUUUGUGAUACCAAGAUUUGCCACCGUGUAAUUACCUUCUGAUAAACCCACCAUGCAGAUUUCCAAGAAAGCUUAUGCUGGAGUUAACACCUUUAAGUGGCAUACUACAAGUUUAUGUUGCAGAUAGGCACUGGUGCAAACUUGUCCAAUGUCUUGACCCUUCAAAUAAAAAAUGUGCUUGCAGGUUUUUUAAUUUUCAAAACAAACGGUUGUUUCCUUGAGCUCUUAUUGUGGUAACAAAGAUAUCUCAUUUUUUCCACUGCAGUACACAAAGAGGCUGGUCCUUUGCAAAGGGGUGUAGUUGUAUGACAUUUCUGAAAACUGAGUUCAAAAAAGCUUUAACUUCUCAAGGUAUAAAUGUAUAUGCAGCACAGAAUAAGCUUGUGCUGAUAAAUCACAGGCAUGCUGCAUUACACUUGAGUGAUAGCUUUGAAGGAGUUGAAGGAAACAUCCUCUUGGAGAUUUUAUUCUUUCAUUAUAUUUCCUUGUGAUUUUAAAUUAGCCAGUAUCUUUUAGCAGUUUUGGUUUCAAUGGCCUAUCCAAGAAAUAUCAAAGAUGCACAAGUAGAGCAAAUAAAAGUAUUCAUUUAUUAGUGACUCCUGUUUCAUUUGGUGUCUAAAGUUUUAUUGCUUCUUACUUUCAACUUUUAUUGAUAUAUUGUGUUAAACAGUAUCACAAUUAAUAUUAAAAUAAUAUCCCUCUUUCAACUCAAAGGCAUUUAAAUAAAUGUAGUGGUAGCAUGCUGUCCUAGAAAUAUUUAAAUAUUUUGGAGAUUAUCAAUUAGUUACUAGGCCAAAAGAGAAUUUGUAAUUCAAGCACUUUUUCAAGAUCACUUAUUCAGCAGUAACUGAAUUGAGUGCCCCUGGCUUUAGGCAUGUGCUGGAGUUCUGAAGGUCAAGGUAGUUUUGUUUUGUUGCCGCAGCAGAGACAGUGAGUGCUGGACAAGCCAAGGCCUUGAGCUGCAGUUGCUGGAGUUCCACUGUGAGAGACAGAGGCCAGGAACAGGCAGUGUGUGUGGCAUUACUCAGUGCAGCAGUGCAGAGCUCCUUUCCUGGAGAGCUGGGUCAGUGCUGCUGACAAGGGGAUGGGGCACAUUCUGGGGUAUUUGUUGCCAUUAGACACGAUGGGGACUGGCAGUCCCUGUGCUGAAGCUUUGCCAUUGCCCUGGCAAAGGCAAAUAGCAGCUCCUGAGCACAUUUAAUCUCAUAGAUCUCUGUGGCAAGAGCCUUCUGUGUUCCUCUCCUAUAUGGAUGCUAAGGGUUGAUUGCUUUCUAAAUUCCUUUCUUGUACCCAUUUUUAUUUUUGUUCUAGGAUUUUAUAUAACAACCUCUCUAGUGCAUAUUUUCCAGCAAGCAGAUUAUCUUGGUGGCAAUGUUAACUCACAGUAGUGCUAAAGUGAAGCUACAUGAGUGUAGUCCGUGUGUUAAUCAGAUAUUCCCAAAUUAGCAGAGCAGCACAGCAUGUUUGCAGUGUUUAUUGUACUAAGGUGUUGAAUAAGUACUGUAACAGGCCAUAUAGAAUCUACAGAUGUAGUUUUUUCUUGUUUCACAGACUUUUCCAUGUAUUAGGGGUGAACACUGAAGACAUUAACAGUUCAAACCAUGAAUACUCUGGUGAAGUUAAUGCUGCCCAUUGUCCUGUUUUGAUGUAGCACUGAUGCAGAGAUAGCUACUCAGUGUUAUCCCUACUAUCACCAUGACACUUUCAUUCUGGCAACUGGCAGCCCAUCAUCUUUAGCCAGCAGUCCAUGUUUUUCUUUGGAUUAACAGAGAGUAAUUGUUGUUUUCAACCUAUCCUUAGCUAUGUUAAUUAUAACUAGACAUGGACACUGAUCUUCAGCAUGUCAGUCCAUACCAUCACAAUUGUUAAGAAAAAUCUUUAUCAUUAUUUAUUGUGUAUGUGUUUAUGUCUUUGACCAUGUAGCAUAUUGCAUGCUGUUUCAUAUGGACAAGCUGCUGAUCUAGAAUUAAGAAACAAUCAAAUAUGAAACUAAAAAUCAGCGUUUCAAAAUAUUUUAUAUAAAUUGUAGCACAUUCAUCAUGAAAUGAUAGUAGUAAAUGUGUUUUAGAGAACUUGAACAUAUAUUUGCUAAUUAAUUUGAAUGAAAAUUCAUUGAAAAUGGUUACUUGAAAAAUUUGAUGUGUCUUAGUAUCACUUUUAAAUUAUCUUGAAAAGGUACAGGCUGUUAAGACUUUGUGUAAGCCCAUAUAAAAAUGAAGUAAUGGCAUUUUUUAAUAGAAAAUUGAUUCCUAGAGAAAAAGAAAAUAAUCUACUUUGAGAAUUUGAAAUAGAAUUAGUCUCUGUCCAAAUGAGGGACGUCUUCAGUGCAGCUACAGUUUAUGGCUUAAAUACUGAUGAGAGUAAAAUAUGAUUACCUGAUGGAAAAACAGUUAAAUGCAAAUCUUCUCUAACUUUUUCUACGAGUUACAGCAGCCUGUUUACCAGGUAUGCUUUCAGACUGGAGGAGAAUGGAGUAAAUGUCACUUUUGUUGCAAAUACUUAAUUUGUGUUUGCAUCAUUUGUGUUGAGCAGACAGAAGGGAAGUGUAAUUGAGGGAGCAAAAGGAAGAGGAAAGUUGAACACAUGAGGGAGUGAGAUACAUCGUCAGGGCAAGACAGAGGCCACGAGAAAGGAAAAUUGAGGAGCAUGUCCCUGCUGUUUUCUAGUGUUGGGAUGAUAAAAACCAGCUGUAUACCAGUUCUCAGCAGCUAGCGUGCUUCAGCUUGGUAUAAGUAACUUCAGUGAAUCAAUAAAUUUAUCUAUAGAAGUUAUAUGUCUCUAAUUAUCUUCCCCAUCAGCAUGGCUUAAUUUAAACAUUGCUGACAUUCAGCAUAAAAUAAAUCUAAUCUAUGUAGAAACACACAGCUUGAGGAUUCAAAACAUAUUAACUCUGCUAUCUGUUGAUAGCAUAGUAUUACUGUGUUUUAAAACAUAAACUUAAUCUCACUUAGAAGUAUAAAUUUCAAAAUACAUUUAUAAUCAGAAUUAAUGUUUAGCAUAACAGAGCAAAAAUAUAGUUUUUUGCAAUAUGUUUGGCACGUGUUUCUAGAUCUUACAGAGUUAAGCUUUAGCCUUAACAAGCCAAGUCUUAGCGUUUGAGGAGCUUAAUGUAGGUUUGAAUGUUAAAUUCUUCUGCAUUUCAAAUUGCUGAUUUAUGUUUAAUCUUCAUGUAAUCACUGGUCAGCAAUAGUCACAAUGCAGUAAGUUAUAUAGCAAUGGAAACCUUGAAGAGUGUUUUUUUUUUCAUUUUGGCAGAGAAGUGACUAUUGAUAUUUCUACUCUCUCCUGGGGCUGAAGAAUAAAGUUUGUUAAGGCUUGAAAAGGCCAGAUAGAUAAUGCUACUACUGUUUUCAGCAGAUGCUAAUGCAGUGUUUUAUUUUGCAUAUGUAUUAAUCUUUGCUGCCUCAGUACAGAGUGAUGAGGGUAACUAUGUCGGUCCUAAAGGGUAAUUUCAUUCUUUUUUAAGGCAUGCCAUUAUUCUGUUAACAGUAAUUGCUCUUUUUUGAAUGAUUAAUUUGAUCACGUGAACUGUUUCUAAUUACAUUGGUGACUGGCAAUUUCCUGUACUGAGAAAUUGUAGUUGUGGUCAUAUUCUAUUUACUCUGUGUAUAAGCCUGGAGAAAAAUGCCCACUGACAGGCAUUUUCAGAAAUUGCCACUAAUUUCAAGAACUGUUUGGAGAUUUUAUAUAAGAUGCUUAGCACUUGUUUUACAUUGGCGUUGAGUAUGUGCAAACGUACUUGACAAAUGAGGGCCGAAACAACUGGAUGUGAGACCAGGAUGAGCAGGUUUGCAAAUGCAGGCCUAUGUGCUAAAUUAUCACCUGUGCUGUCACUGCUGUGAGAACUGAAAGGAGUGGGAUGUGUUUCUUGCACAUUUUACAAUGUUCUUACACUCGAGCUGGAUGUGCUCUCUGCUGUAAGCUCUUUUUGCUCGCUUCAGUUACUGUUAAUGAGCCAGAGUGUGCAGUGCCAGGCAGUGCAGCACUGAAAGGCUACUGCCUGGUGAGCCAGCCCUGGCAGGGAGCAGGGGCUGCUGGGCUGCCUGCAGGAGUCACACUGCAUCCAGUGACAGCAGCUGGACCCUGCACACAGCACUGACAGCAGGAGUCACACUGCAUCCAGUGACAGCAGCUGGACCCUGCACACAGCACUGACAGCAGGAGUCACACUGCAUCCAGUGACAGCAGCUGGACCCUGCACACAGCACUGACAGCAGGAGUCACACUGCAUCCAGUGACAGCAGCUGGACCCUGCACACAGCACUGACAGCAGGAGUCACACUGCAUCCAGUGACAGCAGCUGGACCCUGCACACAGCACUGACUGCAGGAGUCACACUGCAUGCAGUGACAGCAGCUGGACCCUGCACACAGCACUGACAGCAGGAGUCACACUGCAUCCAGUGACAGCAGCUGGACCCUGCACACAGCACUGACCCUGCCGAGGCACUUCUGGCUCUAGUGCCAAAUCUGCAUCCAGUUUACAAAUAGCAGAUAAACAUUGGGCUGGCUCAGCUGCAUUUACAGCAGCUGAAUUAAACUGUGAUUCAACUAAAGAAUGUAUCCAGCAGAGAAGAAAGGUGCUGGGCUUGGCCAGGGUGUGGGACACUGCCUGCAUGAAGAUUCACCACUCUCUGUUGUCUCAUGCUGAAGCUGGGCAUGGUUGUAGUACCACUGUGCUAAGAAUAGCAUCAUUCCCAUGGACACAAACCACUGGGAGUUGAACACUCCCCCUUUUGCAAUUGCUACAGCGACUGGGCAUGCAGUGCUUGCUGAAGGGCUGAUGUUACAUGCUUCUGCUGGGUCUGAGCUGGUUCUUCAAAGUUGUUUGCACUGGUUCCAGAGCAUGUGAUAGGCACUUAAAUGGCAUUCAGAUCAAAGGGUCUGUGAUUCAAAGCCCCGACUUCUGUCUCACCCCAAAAGUACCCCCAGAAGAGGUACUUUUACCUCUUAAUAAAAGUAAACCACUGAUAACAUCACCAAGAGCUGCAGUACCAGGAUCCUGAAAUUGAGCAUUCUCUCUGGUAAUCUGACAUUCAAAGCCUUCAAAGGAAUGCAUUCAAGGCCUUCAAAGUGCAACCAAGUGCUUUGCCACAGCAUACUAUCUUAAAUGUAUGUUCUACGUGCGUUCCUUACUUCACCUACACUUGAAAAACUGUUACAUUUGACUUGUAUUGGAAUGACUCUGGCAAAGAGCUUUACUUAUCAAUAAGUAUUCUGCAGCUAAUCAUGUAUGCUCUAAUACAGCUGGAAUGCCCAGUGCCUGUGGAGACUCUGGUCCAGCACAUUGUAGACCUGCAGGAACAAAGAGCUGCAAGCCUUUUUUAUGUGCUCCCUGAUCUGCCUGUAACCCGUCCCGAAGAAUUUUUACAGGCAGGCAGCCUGUAGGCCUGAUAUGGAUAUGCCCCUCCGAGUAAAUUAAAGAACUUCAUCAGAUAUCCACUGGUCACUAGAGUAGGACCUGUGAUCCCUGCCCAGGACACACCUGCCUCUCCAGCUGCAUAUUGUCCUUUCUGAUUACCUUUGCCACCUCUAAGGCUGGGGCAUGUAUCUGUUUGUGAAUCAGCUCAGGCAUUCCUGCAGUUGUCAGCCAGGUGUGCAAAGGAAAACCAGCUCCCUUCAUGAGUGGAUCAUGAGUUCUGCUUAAGUGUUUUGAGCCAGAGAGCUUCUGGUGGCCAGCUAUGAUCCAUUGUCUGCCUUCAUCUGCCUGGUGCCAUCCUAAUGAAUGAUGAGGUGUGUGCUCAGAAUUUACCACUUUGCUGACUGUAUGAACAGCAAACAGAAAACUGCAGGAUGCUUUGGAGAUGCUUUUUACAAUUCAAUAUAAACAUAGUGAGUAGGCCUCUUGAGAAGUCUGUGGAUAUGACCACACUUGGAUAGUUGCUGGGCCUAGCUGAUUCAGGAAAGAACAUAAAGAAAGAAGUCAUUGAUUCAAUGGGAAACAUUUAUCCAUGAGUUGUGUUUGAACAGCUUAAGUCUCAGAAUGGAAUUCCACUUUGAUAAUUGUCAGUAUUCAUAAAAAACCUACUUUGGCAUCUGAGAAUUACUUUCUAGGUUGGUUUAAAUAACCAGUUACCAUAUUUGUUCAUUUUCUUUCCAUGGCAUUAUAGGGAAAUUAAUUGUAUGUUAAGUCUUGAAUAAUUUAAAAGAUUUAAUUUAUGGCCCAGCUAUACCUGCCCUUUAAAAAGUCCAAAGGGCAGAGACUUACAAGCAUUACUUGUUCAUAUGGAACCAGCAGAGGAGGCCUCAGCAUGUGGGUAUCCUGUAAGCAAUAUUGAAAUAUAAAUGUUAAAUAAUGAUACCUUCUGAAGGUAAGAGCCAUGGUUUUUGCAAACCUUUUGCACACUCAUGUGUGUAUGCCAGGCAGACAAGCACUCUGGAGUUUGAAAGAUGACCCCCUUUUGAACUAUAAGCAUCCCAUCUCAGUGUGCUCAGUAUGAUUCCUAGGGAGAAAAUCUUGUUGCAAGCACUCUGGAUUUAUGUAGGCCCUGUGGAGUUCACUGGUGGGUUUAUUUGGCAGGUGGGCCUUAUUAACCUGCCAGCAAGGGACUGUUUGACCUGCUAAGGUUUGCAGAGCUUGUAAAUAAAGAUUCCGUCAGGGAAGAGAGAUUCUCUUGUGCUUCAGACUAUUUAUAUCUCCUCUAACUGUGGCUGUUAAAGCUUAUAAAGAAACAGAAGGUCUGGGAUGUGAGACAGAAAACCCUGAGGGAAUUUUAUGUGUUGUAUUUGGAUUGCUGUGUUAAUAUCCUAAAAUAAACACAGCAUGCCAGAAAAUGGGGAAUAUUUUUAUUGUAAUUAUUAUUAACUCAAAGACAUAAAUUAUUAGUUAUUGAAUGGAGCAUGGCUGAGCUUGGCUGUAGGGGACAAUAAAAUAUCCUCUUAAUUUAACACUAGCAGCUAUUGGCAAUCAAUGGGAACCAGACAUUUAAUCAGCUUCACUUCCCUCUUUUUUGCUAUAUAUUUUUUUGCAUUGUUUUCAUGUUUAAUAAUUACUAGUAUUUAUGUUUUUUACAGCUCAGGUUAGUAAUGAAUACAAUAAGUUUAUAAUAAACUGUAAUCAUAAUAAAACUAUGAUAGACUCUCCAUUAAUAGAAUAAUUUUAAUUGGACAAAAUAUUAUAUUGAAAGGUAUGUUGUAUUACAGAUUGAAAAAAAAUCCCUUUAAGAAGUCUUUUUGUCUGUCUAGGGCAGGUCUGAUUAUAAGGCCCUUUCUAACUUUGCAAUAUGUAAUUUUUAACAGGUGUAUCUUUUUCCGUGAAAGGACUAUGUUAUUUUAUUUAUAAUCCUUAAAAUGUAAGAAAAUGUUUUUCUUUUCCUCAAAAGCUACCAGUUUGGACUAGCUGAACAAUCUUUUUGGGAAAGGUUUCCUUCUGUUUCAGCAGACCUACUCAGACACCCAAAUGCUACUGCAGAUCAAAUGACAGCGAGUUCAGCAUCUGCCAGAGUUAAACUUUUGAGUCUGUAUUCCUUGUUCAUUCAUUUAAAAGGCAAUUUUGGAAUAUUUCUGCCUUCUGUCCUGAACGGACUUGACAAAUGUUUUUUGACCUUAGGUUGGACUGAUCUGGUACUUAGGCAUUUUGUUUUAAAAUACUUUAUAUUGCUACCGGUUUAUAGAGAAUCUGUUGAAUUUACAAUUGCAAACAUACUGUGUGCAAAAGUAUUUCACUCCAGAGCUGCUGCAGGGGCUAAGGAGAGCUCACUAGUGAGGAAAGACAAGUAGGGUAUUACUGGUGAUGCACACUGGGUGGAGAAUGGCUUCCAAAUUUUUCUAGUCACCAAAACUUUACAAGUGGAAACUGCUUGGGAGAAACAAGACAAGCCCUUUCUUCUUUUGUUCCACCUCCUUUCCAGUGGGCAUCUACUUUGUGAGCUGGAUGUCCUGGCUCCCAGCCCUGCUGUGAUGUGGGACUGGCAAACUGCUGUGCACCUGUUCCAGGGGGAUUAGCCACUGGUGACAGCCCAUACCCAGAAUUUCCUCCACAGAUGGCAUUACCCUUCAACAAGUGAGUCAGAACCAUUUGACUUGGAGCUUUUUAUAGUUGUUGUUGAGGGUAAUGAUAAUCAUCCUAAUAAAGUAGUUCUUAACCUCUCAUACUGAAUAGUUUGCCAUUGGUUGAAGAAGAUACCAAGCUGACCUUCACUCCCAUCCCUAUCAGCUUUACCAGCACUGGCAAAACACUGUUAAGCUUUUACAAUCAUCUGUUGUUACAGUGGGAAGUGAGUGUUGUCUGGUGGAUGAGAUACCAGGCUGAGGGCAGAAUUGACUCCCUUUAUUAAUUCACCAUUGGGAAAUCUAAGACUAUAUUACUUCCUCUGGUAUUUUGAUUUUCCUAAUGAUAAACACAUUCAUUUGAGAAUUCAAUAAACAGCUCACACUGAAAAUCAAGUAUGCCAGGAUUGGUUUGCAGAACUGGGCUUUAUGUUAAAUUUUCUAGUCCAAAGAAUCAAAUAUUAUCUGUAUUGUAUUCCUACAUGUUGACAUGCUAAUUGAUUACAGAAAUAAUAUUCAUGGUGUUUUUUCUCUUUUGUCUGCCACUUAUAAGGCUUUAUGUCAUUCUAGCAGAACAGAGUUUUUGAUAUAAAUACUUUAUUGUCUUACUUUGAAAAUUGUCCAUAUAUAGUUCAGGGAAUAAAUGUCCUAAAUAUUAUUCCACCCAAGUCUCCCUUUUUUCUUUUUAUUAUUUUCUCUUUUUUAUCUCCUCCCUUUCCCUUUUUUACCCCCCCCUCCCUUUCUGCAAGUACAUAAAAAGAAUGAGGCACUUCCUGCUAUCCCUAAGCACAAAUUCAGUUCCUGGUAUAGCAACUCUAACGUAUUCAGGAAGGAAGAAAUAAUCUUUCUGAGACUGUAGUGCUUUUACAGUGGCUGCAGUAGCUGUAGCUCAGAUUGUAGCUCCAUACUGGAGGAAUGGUGUAAUGUUUGAUCUUUGGUAGUAAUAAGGAACAGGCCCAUUCACAGGUGAGAAUAAUAUGCACUGUGCAGUACAGUGAAGCAGACAAAUGUUCCUGCAUAGAGGAGACUACCAUCUGGUAGAAUAAAGUCAUUCAUACUAGCCACAAAAUUCACUGAAAAACAAUAUUUUUCUUCUAAAAUAAACCCCUCAAUUUCCCGGCUAGGACAAAGUAAGACUGAUUAGGUACCACUUGUAAAAGGAGAAUUUUAUGAAAGAAGAGGAUGUAAGUGCUCUAGAGGAGAAGGAUUUGCAGAAGAAGCAUGAUAAGAUAAAGAUAUGUGUAAAAUAGGACUGGGAAAUGGCUAAGUGGGAACUGUGAGCUGAGUGUGUGGGAGGAAAGGAGGCAAGCAUUUAUUUCACCAAACAUUAAGAACAGAAAAAAGGCAGAGGGCAGAUUUCUUUUUGUUAGUCUACUUUAAAUUGACCUGUUGAUUUCAUUUCCUGCAGGGCAUUAAGACUGUGUUCAGUGGGCUUUUAAUGUACAUUUAUCAACCAGCUUGUGAAUACUUUCUAUCUGCUCUUUCUUCUAACUACUCACUUUAACUCAUCGAAAAAAAUCCAAGUGACAACCAGCCUGAUUCACCUUUCAAUUUAAGAAGAGUCUACUUGAUUUAGAUCCAACUGCUUUGCUUUAAAGAUAUCAGCUGUUAAUUUUAAGGGGCACACUGUAGGGCUGCUCUAGCUUUCACCUGUGAGCAGUCAGGUCCAACAUGCCCUCACACCCUUACAAGCCUUCUCCUGCCUCCCAUGGCAGCAGAUGUGAGGACAGAACAGCACGGAGUGGGUUACACUGUUGGUGUGGGAGGGAAACAGCUGCCUGGUAAAGCAGCUUUUUGUGGAGUAUAUCAAGUUCUGGCCCUGUUUUGCCAUAAAUUAACUGGUUUAAUAAACAUUCCCUGCAGCCUUUAGUAAACAGACUGUUUCAUGCUUGAACUUACUAACAUGCUCUUAUCUUUGCUAUAAAAUGUAUAUAAUCAUGAGAGAUUUCCGAAUGACAGAGUGGAUUUGUGAAAACAUCCGCAUAAUGUUUUUCCACUUGCUUUCAGCUCCGUUCAUGGAUUUGCUGGCUGAGACAAUGUUUGGAGUAAAGUCACAUGAUCAAUCUGCAUUUUCUUGCAGUCUUCCUGAGCUUUUGCACCAUUCUUUUUCAUGCCAGCUUCAGAGGGGACAUUUGAAAGAGUUGGCCUCUCAGUGCUACCUGAUGGAUUGACCUGGACUUGGGCUACACAGGGAAAAUAUUUGCACAGUUUUCACCUUGCACUGAGCCUGCUGUUCCUGGUUGGAGGAACUGAGGGAUGACAAGCUUAGGACAAAGCACAAGGACCACAAAGGCCAGUGAUGAUAACCGUGUGAAAAACAGAGGUGCCAGAAGAAAUAGGGAAGAGAUAAAGCGGAAAAUAAGAAGUGCACUGGGAUAUUAUGCAGCUCUUCAGGAAACAGACGUUAAGCACCUCAUUAGGGAGGAACAAAUCUCUCCAUAAUACCAGACUCGAUCAAAACCAGCCUGAAGUGAGCAUAGCCUGUGUGUGCAUCUCUGCAGUGCAGAGGCUUGAAGGCAGGUUUGCCACCAGCACAUGAGCUGGGACACAGCAAUGCACAAGUAACCUUGGUGACAGAGGCAGGACUGAAACAGUGAAUUCACAGCUCCCAGCUCUGUGCUCAGACCCCCAGACUCUGUUCUCUGUGUGUUUAUCAGCAGCAAUGAAAGAGAAGUCACUGCUGCAGGCAGCAAUGCUCUAUGCUUACCCUAUUCCUCAUGCUCCUUCUUAAGCACUCAUUUCUGACUAUGACCAGAGAUUGGA